GAAUAGCUGAAGGACUCCAUUCAGGAUGUGCGCCUUUUAGCAUUGCUGCAAUUCCAGCCGCAUGAGGAGCAGCCAUUGAUGUGCCUGAUUUAACCUCGUAAUCAGUGGCUAAUGCUAUGUUCUGAAUACUUUGUGAAAAUAGAUUGGGUGGAACCGCUGCAAGAAUCAGUACCCCUGGUGCCAUAAUAUCUGGCUUUGCAAUUCCCAAGUAGCUUCUGGAGGGCCCUCGUGAUGAGGAUCCAGCAAGAAUUGGGGCUGGCCUUUCUCCAUCCACAUACGUUUCUUGGAAUGUUAUGGUGGCCGUGGGAGCAACACUGUUUUUAACGUAAUUGAUGACUUUUUUCCCUUCCUUUUUGUCAAUCACAACUCCCGGGUGGGAAAAAGAAGCAUCUCUGAACACUCCUGGAUCCUCAGAAAUAAAGAUGCCUGCUUUAAAUCUUGCUUCUUCGACGUGAGAAAUUUGACUACUGAAACCAAAACCAUCUUCAUCCGCAUUAUAAUCACAGAUGAUAAUGGUGCUUUCGGGAUCAGGAACUUGCGAUAGCAACUCAUCUGACCUGCAAGUGGCUAGAGUCUUGUUGUAAAUCACCAGAGAAUCCCUGACAAAGGCUCUUGCAGGAAACAAGCUCCACCCCCUAAUUUUUAAUCCAUUGCCCAAAGUCAAAGUUCCUGCAAAUGUCCGGUCGGUGUAGCCUGAUGCCACGCACAAUAUCCAUGGAGAUCCAUUGCCUAAACUCCCCCAACUUGGACCUCGAUUUCCAGCUGAAGCCGAAACCAAUACCCCCUUCAUCAUAGCUCCAAAAGAAGCAAUUGAUAUAGCAUCUUCAUACAAGGGAAUGAACCGGAAUCCAAAUGAAAUGGAUAUCACAUCAACGCCAUCCGCAACAGCUUGGUCCAUAGCAGCAACUAAAUCUGAUGUAAAAGUUCCUUCAUCAAAGCUGAACUUAUACACAGCUAGCCUAGCUCGUGGAGCAGCCCCUCUUGCCGUUCCUGCUGCAUAUCCAAAAUGGGAAACACCUUUCGCAAAGUUCCCAGCAGCAAUGGAAGCGCAAUGUGAGCCAUGACCAUCAGUAUCCCUGGCAGAGUUCAUGGAAAUGUUGACAUUGGGAUCAUUAGCCAAAAUUCCUUUAUUGAAGUAAUUAGCCCCAAUGAGUUUCUUGUUGCACAUAGAAGUGUUAAACUCUGUUCCAGGCUUGCAAAUUCCUUUCCACCUUUUGGGGAUUUCAGGAAUACCAUCAUCUCGGAAACUUGCAGAUUCCGGCCAGAUUCCACCGUCAAGAACACCAAUGAUCACAUCUUGGCCUAAACCAGAAGCUGGCCAUAGCCCAGAUGACGGAUUGAGCUUGAGGAAAUCAGAUGUGUAGGUAGUGUGAGGUUCCACAGUUCUAUCUUUAUAUGCUGAAACAAAACCUGGUAACUUUUUCAAAGCUUUCAGUUCAUCUUUGGACAAAACAGCACUGAAGCCAUGAAACACAUUGUCAUAGGAGUAAACAAGUUUUGGAGCAGAAUGGAACCUGUCUACUGAUGAAGGAACAGAAGCUUUGAUGGAAUCAAUAGUGGAAGAAUGCCAAUGAUGGUGAUCUGGAAAGACAUUAGGCAUUAAAGAUUUGUCCAAAUGGACAAUAUAAGUGGAUCUUUGUGCUAUAGCUAAGUAACAGAACAAAUGAACAGAAAUAAACCAUGAAAGGAAGAGAAGAUGAAGAGAAUAAGGAAACCCCAUUGUAGAUCUCUGUGUUGACUGAACACUGCAGAUUCAAGUGACUUUACAAGAUAAUAGAAGCAGCAUUUGGUUGUUGCAAUAAUAAAGAUAAGUUAAGAAAAGUGAAGAAUGAAAUGUGUUAAAAAGGGUAGUAAAGUAAUAAAGAUAGGCGGCUGUUGUAAGUGAAAUGAACCUAUUAAGUACUGUUUCUAGAAAGGAACCUAUAUGUCAAUUUUCAAACACGACCCCACUUGUUAUCCCAUUGAAAUCAGUGACAUUUUCAAUGCUAUAUUAAUCAUUUCUUGUUUUAUUUAGUAUUAUUUGAAUAAAUUUGUGAGGCAAGAUAUGACAGAAUCUUGUAUACUAAAUCAAAUAUAGUCUCUUUGGAAGAAAAAGAGAAGUCAAUAAUGAAGGCAGUUGCUUUCACUCUUUCUCCAUGUUACUGUAUAAGAUCUAUUUUUGCUUCUGGAUAAUAUAAAGAAUCAAGUGAUUGAGGUUUGCUCUUUUAUUUUUUCUACAUAAUCUUUUUUGUUCUAAAUUUCCUGAUAUUCUGUUCCCCAUUUGGGAAAAUAUGGUGGGGGAUACAUUUAUAAUUGUUACACGGGGUAGAGCUAGAAUACGGUUAAGUAACUAUGUUCUAAAUUUUAUAUUUGUAUUAAGAAAUUUAUUGAAUAUAUACUAAAUAUUAAUUUAGAACUUAAUAAUAUAUAUGAAUAGAAACUCCAACCUAUAAACAUCAAAUUCAUGCUCUGAAUAUUCGACAUGAUUUUCCCUUCAAAUGAGGUGAUCUUUAAUUUACCCUUCGCAUGGGUGAUUUUCAAUUUUUCCUCUUAGAAAUUGAAUUUAUGUCAAGUGGGGCAUAAGUCCUCUAAAGGCACGAAGUAUGACUUAUGAAAUAUUAUGAUACGAAAUUAAAGACUAGCACAAAAUGGGGCAAAAGUGGGACGGAAGGAGUACUGUUAUUUGUUUCUUUAAGAUAGUACAGACAAUUCAUACAACAUAUACAUUUACCAUUUUGCUUUCCCUUAGUUCUUGUGUUUUGGUACUUCCAGUUCAAGCAUAUGAUGGUCAUAAAGUGGCACGACUUAUUACCAGAGAUCAAUUAUGGGAGAUAUCACUAUAGGGCUCCUAACAGUAUGAUUUCCGUGCUCUUCAACCCAAGUGAUCGACCCAUAGUUCCAAUUGGGACCUAUAUAACGAAUUGUCAAAGUAUAACUUUGCUUCUCAUUUUUAUUCUUAUACACCAAAGUUUGUGGUGACACUGAAACUUUUGAGUUCUUGGGAGCUUUUAUCUUAGCUUUAUAAGUAGCUGCACCUUGACCAACAUUUGUGACUGUCCUCCUGAAUUUCUGCUCCAACCAGGUGUAGUUUCCCUCAUUGCUGUACAAUGCAAUGAAUGAAGGGUAAUUGAGAUCAGCUGAUGGAUCUGAGCAGUUGUGAUUGGCUGAUGAUCUUGCAAUUGUCUUGAAUUGCUCUUCUGUGAAAUUCAUAGAGCAUAAGAGAUUUACGUAAUCUUGUGGAGUAGCAUCAUAUACUAGGCCGGGGUCAAGGGCUCUGUUGGGAUUGACAUGCCCUGAUCCCAUGGCUAGGGGUGUGGCUUCCCUGUUAAUGUCAGAGUCUAUGAUUGGUUUUCCAGUGUUAUCCAAAGGAUCUGCCGUGGUCAUCAUAGCAGAGCGAAUAGCUGAAGGACUCCACUCAGGAUGCGCGGCUUUUAGCAUUGCUGCGAUUCCAGCAGCAUGUGGUGCAGCCAUCGAUGUGCCUGAUUCAAGAAUGUAAUCAGAGGAUAAUUCUAUGUUCGUCCCAAUACUUGUAGCAAAUACAUUUGGUGGAUAUGCUGCAAGAAUCAGCACCCCUGGUGCCAAUAUAUCUGGCUUUGCAAUUCCCAAAUAGCUUCUGGAGGGUCCUCGUGCGGAGGAUGCAGCAACAACUGGUGCUGGCUUUGCAUCUAGAUACGUCUCUUGGAAUGUGAUGCUGGCUGUGGGAGCGACGCUAUUUUGUACAUAACUGAUCACUUGUUUCCCUUCAGUUUUGUUAAUCACAACUCCAGGAUUGGGAAAUGAAGCAGACCUGAACACUCCUGGAUCCUCAGAAAUAAAGAUGGCUGCUUUAAGUCUUGCUCGACUGACAGUGCGCAUUUGAUCAGAAAAAUCCCAGCUGUCAUCACAUAUAAUGAUGGUGUGUUCGGGAUCAGGAACUUGUGAUAGCAAUUCCUCGGAAUUGCAAUUAGAUAGAGUUUUGUUGUAAAUCACUGUUGAAUCCAUAACAAUGACUCUUGCAGGAAACAAGCUCCACCCCCUAAUUUUUAAGCCGUUUCCCAGUGUCAAAGUUCCUGCAAAUGUCCGGUCAGUGUGGCCUGAUGCCACACACAAGAUCCAUGGAGAUCCGUUCUUUAAAGUUCCAGUAUCCGGGCCUCGAUUUCCAGCUGAAGCUGAAACAAGAACUCCCUUCAUCAUAGCUCCAAAAGAAGCAAUGGAUAUAGCAUCUUCAUACAUGGGAACAAAACGGGACCCAAAUGAAAUGGACAUCAUGUCAACACCAUCCGCAACAGCUUGGUCCAUAGCUGCAAUUAAAUCUGAAGUAAAGGUACCUUCUUUGAAACUAAACUUGUAAACAGCUAGCCUAGCUCGUGGUGCAACCCCUCUAGCUGUCCCUGGUGCAUAUCCAAAAUGGGAAACACCUUUGGCAAAGUUCCCAGCAGCUAUUGAAGCUACAUGUGUACCAUGACCAUCGGUAUCCCUAGCAGAAUUCAUCGAAAUGUUCACUGUGGGAUCAUUCGCCAAAAUACCCUGAUUGAAGUAAUUAGCCCCAAUGAGUUUCUUGUUGCACAUUGAAGUGUUAAACUGAGUGCCUGGCUUGCAAAUUCCCUUCCACCUUUUCGGGAUUUCAGGCAUACCAUCAUCUUGGAAACUUACGGAUUCAGGCCAGAUGCCAGAGUCAAAAACUCCAAUAAUCACAUCUUGUCCUAAUCCAGAAGCUUGCCAUAGACCAGAUGAUGGAUUGAGUUUGAGGAAAUCAGAUGUGUGGGUAGUAUGAGGUUCCACGGUUCUAUCUUUGUAAGCUGAAAUGAAACCUGGUAAAUUCUUCAAAGCUGCUACUUCAUCUUGGGACAAAACAGCACUGAAGCCAUGAAGCACAUUGUCAUAGGAGUAAACAAGUUUUGGAGCAGAGUGGAAUCUGUCUACUGAUGAAGGAACAGAAGCUUUGAUGGAAUCAAUAGUGGAAGAAUGCCAAUGAUGGUGAUCUGGAAAGACAUUAGGCAUUAAGGUUUUGUCCAUAUGGACAAUGUAAGUGGAUCUUUGUGCUAUAGCCAACAUAUGAGCAGAAAGAAACCAUGAAAUGAAGAGAAGAUGAAUACAAUAAGGUAACACCAUUCUAGAUCUUUGUUGUGUUGACUACACACUACACCUGCUUAAGUCACCACAGAUUCAAGUGACUUUAUAGGAUUAUGCAGUUAGCAUUUGGUUGUUGCAAUAAUCAUAUUGUAUGUCAAGUGGAGAACAAACUGAGUUAAAAAAGGUAGUAAAGUAUAGUAAAAUAUAGGCGGCUAUAGUGGUAGUGAAUGAAGCAAUUAGUAUAUCUGGUUCUUCUCACUAUUUCUAAUAUUGCAAUUUGCAAACAUGACCCCACUUGUAAUCUAAUGAAGUCAAAUAUAAUCUCUUUUAAUUUAACAAAGAGAGAAGUCACUAUGAUGGGUGUUGCUUCCACUCCAUGUUACUUUUAGAUUUACUAGUUGUAACAGGUGAGAUGAUCCUUUUGUCUUCUGGAUAAAAAUAUAAUGUGGAUCACAAGAGCCAAACUUCCCCAACUUGCUGAUGAGUCAGCUACUGACACUAAAAACAUUUCUCUACUUUGGAAAAUAAAUCCAACGAGAUUAUAAAAGAGAACUUGACAGAACCACUUAGGUAGAGAAUGAUCAAAUUUUCGCCUAAUACAUAAAUGUCCUUUAACUGGACCUCAACUUACAUUAUUGCUCUCCAUUUUUAAUGUAUAUAAGUAAACACUUAUACUUGUAUAAAGUUGAACAAAUAUAUACACGCAUCCUACAUGACAAUUUGAGUCUUACAUGGUAUUCUAUUAUGCCCACGUAGGACUCAUAUGUCUACGUGUUCAACUUUAUACAAAUUUAAAUGUCGGCAUAAAUGUGAAAUGAAGCAAAGUUAAAGGACACAUUUAUGUAUUAUGCCUAAAAUCUUUUUUUUAAAAGGCAUAAUACAUAAAUGUGUCCUUUAACUUGACUUCAUUUCACAUUUGUGCCAUUCAACUUUGAAUCUGCACGUACAAGUCUACACUUUAAUUUGUAUAAAAUUGAACAAGUAAACACAUGAGUCUUGUGUGACAUAAUACACGUAGGACACAAAUUGCCAUGUAGGAUGCCAUACAAGAUGUGUGUGUUUAUUAAUUUGUUCAACUUUAUAUAAAUUUAAGUGUCUACUUGUGCACACUCAAAAUUGGAGGGCAUAAAUAUGUAAUUUAAGACCAAAUUAAAAGAUAUAUUUAUGGUUAUGCUUUUCUUAAACUAUGCAAGCAAAAGUGAUGUCCACUAUACUAUUUUGGGAUGUCCAACAAUACUUGUCCACUUUAUGAAAUCAAUGGAUAAUUUUGCACUUAGUUCCUAAUUUACCCUUAUCAUUAAUUAUAAUCAUUUUCCUAUUACAUUUUUCAAGACAUUGUAUUUAUUAUAUUCAAGGGUGAUGUAGUAAAAUUACCCUUCUAUUGAUAGUUUAUUAAGAAGUGUGCAAAGUCAAUAUUGGACAACUAUUGUUGGACAGAGGAAAUAUUAGUUGAGUGAUCAUCUACUCUGUUCGUCCCAAAAUAAGUGUCACUUUAGAUUUUCAAGACAAUUACUCGAGUAUGUUUUUUUUUAACAAUACUCUUACAUUCCAUCUUCUUAAUAAUGUUCAAUUUUCAAGAGACAUUUAUUAAAUAUGGAUAUACUCCUUCUGUCCAACAAUAGUUGUCCACUAUUGACUUGACACAAGAAUUAAAAAGUAAUAAAUGAUAGGAGUAACCCAUAUUAAAUAUGGGAAGUGCUAAAUGGCCAGAAAAUUUUGUCCAGAAAAUCAAAAAAACUAUAAUAUUUUUUUUAUUUUAAAAUAAACUGAUCUUUUGUCCAUUUUUUAGUUAAAAGGUAUUAAAGUUAAAAGGGUAAAAAUGUUUAAAAGGGUAAAAUAACAUAGAUAAAAUAUCAUUUUGGCCAAAUUUUCUGGCCAAAAAGAUUUUUCCAUUAAAUAUAGGUCAUCUAAACAUAGAAAAAUGAAUAAUAUUUAAUAGUAAGGGUAAAAUAAACAUAAAAUGGUGGAGUACAUUAUUCAUUGAUUUUAUAAACUGAACAAAUAUUGUUGGAUAUCUUAAAAUAGUAUAGUGGACAAGUAAAUAUGAACUAAAAGAGUAAUAAACUAUACAUGAUAUUUAUUAAUUUCUUACUGAAUCUAAUUUUUAUUAAGGUGAUAUUCAUUUUCGGACGAAUAAUUGUUACUAUGGUUGUAUUCAUUUUCGGAUGAAUGGAGUAGUAGUUUGAUCAAUAGAGGAAAAUAUAUAAAUUAAAAAGGCACUCUCCAACCCUUGUUCCAACAACAAAUCAAUAAUGAAAAACAAAAAGAACAAUUGUGUAAAACUGUAAAUUAUACUAGUCGAGAGUAAUUAAUUAUAAAUUCAUUAAACCCAAAAAUAAACUUGAAAAGUAAAUAAAAUCUAGCUAAAAGUAACUUCUACCGCCCUCUACGAACAAUGUAAUAUAAGAAACAAAUAUAAAAAAUUAAAAGAUUGUUCAAGUAUUAAAAAAAAUAACGAACUCCAAUUUAUUUGAGACUAAAGAGCGAAUUGUUGUAGUCGAAUUGUGCAUGCAUCUUCUUUCAUUAGGCUUGGGAGUUGUUAUCGAACUCAUUUUUAUUAUUUGCUUCACAAAUUUUGAUUUUGCGUUUCUUGAUGAUACACUUGACGACAAAAAAAACCACAAAAACCAAGACAAAAGCAACACUUAGACCUUUAAGAAAUGGAAUGAGGAGACCAUGCCAUUUAUUAGCACCCCAAUCUUUCUGAUUUUCACCUUCGUAAGUAAUAUUAGUACUAUUAUUUCCAGGAUUCGACAUAUUGAAUUAAUUUGUACUAAGGGAAGAAUAUUGUAAGAAGAGAAAAAUUAUGUUGGGAAGAUGGGUGCGCCGCAUAUGAGAGGGUUGAAGGUAAGUAGACCUUUAUUUAUACGUGUCAUCUGUCUCUUAUUCGAAGAAAAAAUAAAUAAAGGUAAGGGGAGUAGGGAGGAUUUAUUUAGUAAAUUUACUUAUUAAUGAAACAUUCUCCUUUUUUUGGUUAUAAAAGAAAAAAAAAACGUAACUUUCCUUAUUCAUAUGUUUGCCUUAAAAUUUAUUGAAAAUUUUAGGUUGAGAGAGCAAAAGGAAAGAGAGGAAAGGGAAAUAAAAAGGAACCAUAUAUAAAGUAGAAAGAAAAAACAAUAAUGCUACUAAUUUGUAAAUAGUGUAAUUUUUUGGUAAGGUCAAAUAUUAGGGUACCAAAUUCUUGGGCUAAUUAACAUAGCUAUAGUUAAAAAUAUUUAUAAUUUGCACCUAAAAUUAUCUAUUUCAAUGUGUAUUUGCUUUCUAAGAAAUACGCUAGUUGGCAAAUUUGUCAACUAGCAUAUUUCUUAGAAAUUGUAUCUAUCAGUUUCUUCGGUUUUUCUUUUCUCUCUCCAAAUUAGUAUAACCCCAAAUUCAACAAUGUCGUGCUUUCUCUCUCUUGCUUCGACAAAGCUUCGUCAUGAAUGACUCAUGGGAAACUAUGAGAGAAAGCUUUGGAGCUUAAGUAUAUUUGCCCAAAUUAUUCUUUUUGUAUCAAUGUCUUUUAGUGUAUCUGCAACUAGUUAUAAAAUUGUAUCAAUGUACUCAAGUGUAUUAAUUUCUUGUUAAACAUUGUAUCUUGCAUUUGAAUAUAUAUGUUCAUUGUCGUACAUUUGUAUCAAAUCAUAUGUUCAUAUUUGUAUCAAAAUUCCGUUGAUUAUGGAAGAUAGCGAUAUCAGUUGAAUGUGAUUAUGCAAAUUUUCUUUUAAAAAAAAAAAGAACUUGUAACGCAAUUCACAUAUGUUAUUAAGGGUUGUAUUUGUAUUCAGAGCCAAUUUUUGCGAAUAAAUACAUUUGAUAGCAAGUUAUAAUAUAGCUAUAAAUUGUAAUUAACAAAAGAAUAGUUAAGAAGGCCUAUAGUUAGUUAUUUUUGAAAUUUUUCUCAAACAAAAAAUGUAGGCAAAUUGCUAUCAAGCAAUGUUGAAAUGACUCAUUAACACACAGACUUGAGAGAAGAGUCUUUCAUCAGAUUUACUUUUUCUUCUUCUUUUCAAUUUUUUUUACGUUUGUUUUUAGACGUUCAACCAAGUUUUUCCUUUAUUGAUAGCUUAACAUCUCUUUCUAUGAAAUUUUUUUUUGCACUAAAUUGAUAUUUUUGAUACCUAAGUUAGUGGUUUGAUGGGAGGAAAAUUGUUUAAAAAUAAUUAAGCAAAUAAAAUUAUUUUCUUAUUUCUAAUUAUUUAUGAUGAUCACACACUUAAAUAUAACAAUAAAUGUGCACAACAUGCACGUGAGGUUUUUGUUAAAGAAAAAUUAAAUCCAUCACCAAUAAAAAAUUUUAAAAAAAACAGAGAGAACAUCCACAUGUUUGACUCAUAAAAAAAAUCAAUUCAACCCAUAUAUGUAAGAACUUAAAUUUUUAAUUAAGAUGAUCAUACACUAUCAAUUUUAAAAAGCAUAAAUAAAUGAGUUAACUUGAAGUAGAAAAAUAAAACACCACUACCAAUAAUUUCUCUCACUCUUUUGACAAGAAUUUGUCAAUAACUACAUACCAAAGCUAUAUAUCGGCGUCGAGAUACUAGUAAUGUAAUAAAAGAAACAAAAACAUUGUCAAACUAUUUUUUUUCUUCCCCCUUCUACACUUUAGACGUAGCCUCAUCAUCACUAUCCUCUUUUGAUUCAUCAUCACUAUGAUUUGCCUCAUUAAUUUUGGAGGAAUUUCUUCUUCUAAAUCUGCAGAUGAUUUUACAAAGCAGGCAUAACACAACGACCCCUACAACACCCCAAAGGGCUUUGUUUGGAAUUUGCCAACCAUCAUCAUUGUUCAAUUUUGUGUUAUUUCCUGCAGGACUUAUAGCACUUGUUUGAAAAGACAUAUUCGAAAUUCAACUAGAAAAAAAAGACAAAAUUUAUUUUGUGUGAAGAUGGUAGGGGUCUAUUAAUAUUUUAUAACCCAAAGUUUUCCGUAUUCAUAAAAAAACAACAUAUAUACAUGACUAGUUGUGAUUCGAGGAAAAAAAAUAUAGAGAGAAAAGAGUAACUUUCCUUAUUCAUAUGCAUGCCUUGAGAUUUAUACAUGGAAAUUAGGUGCAAGGUGCCUUUAAAAGUGGAAAAGAUGAACUAUAUAAAAUUUUUUUUGGUUAAACGUUACUUUUCUAUUUUUAUUGGAGUGGUCAAUGUUAUGGUGCCGAGGUAAAAGAGGGAAUCGGGUAAUUUCAAUUGAAAUUGAGUAAUUUUGGUUGAUUUGGGGGAAAUCAUUCAAUUGAGGGGUAUAUUUGUUAUGUUUGGGGAAGACGGGUAUAUUUAGAGUCCUGUAGUAUAAUGAAGGACAAACUUAACUAAUAAAUUUAAAUAAUAGAAGGGUAAUUUUUACCUUUUCCCUUACAAUAACUAUGUUAAGCUUGUGGAAUUCAGUCACUCAAUUGGUUGGCUACCUAAACUUACACCUUAUUGGUGAGAUUCGAUUCUCUACAUUGUAAUCUCCUCCCGUUUUCCCUUCCCUACCCCGAAUAUUUUAUUUAAAAAAAAAAAACUAUGUUAAGCUUAAUCUUGAAACACAGACUGGGAACAUGAAAAUGGUGACGACAUUUUUGGGAUUUCACUGAUCUCAAACAUAAUAGAGACAUAGGGGAAAAAUCCAUCGGGAUUAUACUUACCGGUGUAUGUGUGUGAAACUGUGAAUGAUACAAUCAAUAUAAAAUGUCAAACACAAUAGAGACAUACCGGGAAAAAUCCAUUAGAAUAAAAUAACUUGUUGAAGUGCGCGAAUGAUACAAUCAAUAUGAAAUGUCACUUGUAGAAUCUGUUUUAUAUUUCUAUUUAAAACAAUUGUUUUUCUAAAAAAAUAUUUUUCAAAAGUUUUACUAGAACAUGAGAAAAUUGAAAAACAUUUCAAAACACUCUUAAUUAGUCUCAUAGAACUAUAGGACAUUAGAUAGCAUAACAUAUUCAAUUAGAGCACCAAUAACACAGGGUAAAAUAUUAUAUUACUAAUAGAGAAAUACAAAAUAUAUGUAAAAAAGAAAAUCAUAGGUGCAUCGUCGUGCAUUUGUUUGCUUAGUACAUCAUUGUCCUUGCACUGCAAUGUAAAAAUAAGGAAAACUAACAAUAAUUCCACUUUGCUUUCACAUCAUUCAGUUUUUUUAAUCUAGCAAUGCGAAUAUACUCUACUAUAUAUACAUGAAAAAUAAAUUACUCUAUGUGAGUAGUAAUACUAUUCAACAGAUUCGGAGGCACACGAAAGAUAAAUCCAAAUGACGACCAUUGCAAGAGGAAAAACAAGGAGGACGAAGAGAGAAGGUGGCUGAAUCGAACCGAUAAACAAUGGUAGAAAUAAAAGACAAAUCACCACGACUAACAUCAUCAACAUUGAACCAACUCCCCAUUGACAUUGCUCCAUUUCUUGUGCCAUUUUUUUUUCUUUUAAUUCUUUUGUUACUUUCAGAAAAUGUAAGAUAUAUGAAGAAUACUAGUAUAAUACUUAUAUGAGUAAUAGUCCCUUUAUAUAUGUAGUUUUCGAUAGUCAUGUUGUUUCACCAAAGGACGUGACGAUUAGUUUUAAAUUAUUACAUGCGGCUUAAUUUUUCAUUUUCACACUUUGUUUUGAAUAAAGUGAAAAAAGGAAAAUUUUGUAAAACAAAUGUAGGAGAAAUAUUAACCUUUUUCUUAAACAAGAGGGAAAUUAUAAAUCAUAUAUAAUUAAUGCUUUAUUAUGUAUACAUAUGGAUAAUUAAUAAGGGCAAUCAUCUGAUAAGGAUAAUGAUUAAACAAAAUACCAUAUAUUAAUAACUAACCUCUAUUAAAUAAUAUUUUAACUUUUUAAUUUAGUAGUACUAGUGCCAAAGUGUAUAUAAAUGAAAUUCUGUUUAUGUUUUACUCUUAAAUAUAGUUGAUGUGAUUAUUAGCUUACCAAUAGUUAAGUAACAUUUCACAUUUAAAUGAAUUUUUGGCACUUUUUUCAUUGUUCAAAGUUUAAGAUGGAUAUUUGAUUAUUUUUUUCCAUAUUUACCCUUUCCUUUAAUGAAUUUUAAUAUUUUCUAGGGGAUAAAUUGCAGUACUUACAAAAUUAUGUUUAUGAUUUCACAAAAGAUAAUAGUGGAAAUUAUGAUUUGAAUUCUAUCAUUGAAUGUUUUUCUUAAUAAGUAUACAUCACCUCACAAAUUCAGUUAAUAUGGAAUAGAUAUAUUCAAAUAAUUAUUCAAUCUUGGGUGUUUUAGGCGCGAAGUUGUUCCUAUUUAUUUCUAGCACAACAACUUUACAUUUAGCAUAUAUUAGUACUAUAUAAUUGGGAAAGGGGUCUGAAAAAUACUCUAACUUUGGCUGAAAUUAUUGUUAUGAUACCAAACUUUAUGGAAGAUCUUUUACCUCUGCACUAUUUAAUAAUGUAUUUUAAAGGUAUAUAUGUGCCCACAUGGACACGUUACUAUUUAUAAUGAUGCAAUAUUUAUAAUGUCCACGUGGGCACAUAUAUACCUUUAAAAUAUAGUAUUAAAUAGUGCAGGGGUAAAAUGUCUUUUACAAAGUUCGGUAUUGUUACAACAAUUUCUGUCAAAGUUCGGAUAUAUUUCAGAUUUUUUUCCUUAUAUAAUGUGUUUCUUAUUUCCCCCUUAGUCUUCGCUACCCCAGACCUCAAUAAUGGUAGAUGUCACUAUAGGACUCCGAACAGUGUGGUUGCCAUUUUGUUCAAUCCAAGUGAUCGACCCAAAGUUUCUACUCUGAUCACUAUCACCUAUAUAUCGAAUUGUCAAAUUAUAACUUUGCUUAUCAUUUUUCUCCUUGAACACUAGAGUUCGUGGAGACACUGAAACUGUGGAAUUCUUCGGAGUUUCUAUCUUCACUUUAUAAGUUGCUCCACCUUUACCAACAUUUGUAAGGGUCCUCCUGAAUUUCUGCUCCAACCAGGUGAAGUUCCCCUCCAGGCUGAACGGGUACAAGGCGAUGAAUGAUGGGUAGUUGAGAUCAGCUGAUGGAUUUGAGCAGUUGUCGUAAUUGGCUGAUGAUCUUGCAAAUGUUUUGAAUUGCUCUUCUGUGAAAUUCAAAGAGCAUAUAAGAUUUAUGUAAUCUUGUGGAGUAGCCUCAUAUACUAGGCCGGGAUCAAGAGCUCUGUUCGGGUCAACGUGACCUGCUCCCAUGUCUAGUGGCGUCGCAAUCAUGUUAUCAUCCUCUCUAAUAGGCUUUUGAGUACUAUCCAAAUGGUUUGCUGUGGUCAUCAUGGCGGAGCGAAUAGCUGAAGGACUCCAUUCAGGAUGUGCACCUUUUAGCAUUGCUGCAAUUCCAGCUGCAUGAGGAGCAGCCAUGGAUGUGCCUGAUUUAAGUUCAUAAUCAGAGGAUAAUUUUAUGUUCUGAAUACUUUCUGAAAAGAUAUUAGGUGGAAAUGCUGCAAGAAUCAGUACCCCUGGUGCCAUGAUAUCUGGCUUUGCGAUUCCCAAGUAGCUGCUGGAGGGCCCUCGUGCUGAGAAUCGAGCAAGAACUGGGGCUGGCCUUUCUCCAUCCAUGUACGUUUCUUGAAACAUUAUGGUGGCCGUGGGAGCAGCACUGCUCUUAACAUAAUUGAUGAUUUGUUUCCCUUCCUUUUUGCUAACCACAACUCCCGGGUAGGAAAAAGAAGAAGAUUGUAAACACUGCUGGAUCCUCAGAAAUAAAAAUGCCUGCUUUAAGUCUUGCUCGAUUGAUGUUAAAAAUUUGGCUAGGGAAACCAAAACCAUCUUCAUCUGCAUUAUAAUCACAGAUGACAAUGGUGCGUUCAGGAUCAGGAACUUGUGAUAACAGUUCUUCUGAUUUGCAAUCGGCUAGAGUCUUGUUGUAAAUCACCAGUGAAUCCCUGACAAAGGCUCUUGCAGGAAACAAGCUCCACCCCCUAAUUUUUAACCCAUUGCCCAAAGUCAAAGUUCCUGAAAAUCUCCUGUCAGUGUGGCCUGCUGCCACACACAAGAUCCAUGGAGAUCCAUUGUUUAAACUUCCAAUCCCUGGACCUCGAUUUCCAGCUGAUGCUGAAACCAGAACUCCCUUCAUCAUAGCUCCAAAAGAAGCAAUAGAUAUAGCAUCUUCAUACAAGGGAAUGAAACGGUACCCAUAAGAAAUGGAUAUCAUGUCAACACCAUCUGCAACAGCUUGGUCCAUAGCAGCAAUUAAAUCUGAUGUAAAAGUUCCUUCGCUAAAGCUAAACUUGUACACAGCUAUCCUAGCUCGUGGAGCAACCCCUUUUGCUGUCCCUGGUGCAUAUCCAAAAUGGGAAGAACCUUUCGCAAAGUUCCCAGGAGCAAUGGAAGCGCAAUGUGAACCGUGACCACUAGUAUCCCUGGCAGAAUUCAUGGAAAUGUUCACAGUGGGAUCAUCAGCCAAAAUUCCCUUAUUGAAGUAAUUAACCCCAAUGAGUUUUCUAUUGCACAUCGAAGUAUUAAACUGAGUGCCGGGUCUGCAAAUUCCCUUCCACCUUUUGGGGAUUUCAGGCAUACCAUCAUCUUGGAAACUCGCGGACUCAGGCCAGAUUCCACCAUCAAGAACUCCAACAAUCACAUCUUGGCCUAAACUAGAAGCUGGCCAUAGGCCAGAUGAAGGAUUGAGCUUGAGGAAAUCAGAUGUGUGGGUAGUAUGAGGUUCCACAGUUCUGUCUUUGUAUGCUGAAAUGAAACCUGGUGACUUCUUCAAAGCUGCCAGUUCAUCUUUGGACAAAACAGCACUGAAGCCAUGAAACACAUUGUCAUAAGAGUAAACAAGUUUUGGAGCAGAGUGGAAUCUGUCUAGUGAUGAAGGAACAGAAGCUUUGAUGGAAUCAAUAGUAGAAGAAUGCCAAUGAUGGUGAUCAGUAAAGACAUUAGGCAUUAAAGAUUUGUCCAAAUGGACAAUAUAAGUGGAUCUUUGUGCUAUAGCUAUGAAACAGAACAUAUGAGUAGAAAGAAAGAGAAGAUGAAGAGAAUAAGGAAACCCCAUUCUAGAUUCCAUAGCACUACACAAUACACUUCCUAAAAAUCACUAAAUUUUCAAUCUAUCUUAUAAAAUUAUGCAUAGAAAGCAUGAGGGUCCCUUGAGUAAUCAGUAGAGUUAGGUGGAGAUUAAAAUAAGUUAAAGAGGUAUUAUUGUAGUAGUAAAGGUAGGCGGCUUGUAUAAAAGUAAACUAUACCAAUUCUGUCAGCUUAUGUUCCUUUUGCUUCUAAAUAAUAUAUAUAUUAGUAUCUGUUAAUGAUUUUAAUAAGCAUUGUUGACUUGUUGAAUCAGUCAAAUGAGAAUUGAAAGAUUAGAAAAGGCAAAUGACCAUUCAGCACAAUUAUCAUUUUGGUCUGUAUUAGAAGAUAAAAUCUUAUAUUUUUGAGUCCACAAACUUUGGAUCCAAUUUUAUGUGAGGUAAAAAAUAAUCUCAUAUGAUCAGUAUCGGUGGUUUGAAUCACAAAAAUGAUUUGAACUUUGUCAUAAGUUAUCUCUUCUUUUUUUUCCGUUUCUAAGAACUUUUAUCUUUUGCUUUCUUGGUGACUCGAAUAUGAUAAUGCCAUAUUACUUCUCCAAUAAUUGUGGGCUUUAAUCAAAGGUUCCAUUGAAUAUUAUGUGAUAAGGCCAUAGACCUUUCCUCGUGGUCCCAAAUUUCAUCAAUCACUCAAAAUCAAUGAUGUAAUGGGACGUAUAUAAGAAAGGAAGAAAUAUUUUUAUCUUUAAAGAAAGAGAGAAUUCAAAGUACUAGAAUUAGUUAGAGAGGAAAACUAAAGAAGCAAUAUUCCUAGCUUAGUAUCAACUAUCACCAGAGACACCAUUGACCUUCGUCAUUUUGCAAAUGUUAUCGAGUUAUUGAUUUACGAGGUUGAUAUUAUGACUAUGAUCCUUUUGUGUUCGUCUCACACCUAUAUUUCUAUGAUAAUGAUAAUUGAUAAUCACAUAAACGCUUUAAUUUAUAAUUUCCAUUAUUAAACUAAGUAGGGCGUACUUAGUUAUAUCUCUAUCUUAGAUGCAAAUCCUCUCCCCGAUGUCCAAGGUUAAGAUCCUACUCUACUUAAUCCUCGUUCUAUCUCAAUUUCCCUCUCUUCCGAGUUCAAUACAAGAAUAUAGAUGUAUUAUACUAGUCUCGAAUGAGUGAAAUAGUAAAUUCAAGAUCAAAUAAACAAUGCAUAUGAUAAAUGCAGUUCAACUCAAGACGUAACAUCAUGGAUCAUAAUAUAUAGAAUUAGCAUGGUAUUAUUAACUCAACAUCAUGUUUAUUACAACGAAACUUCAACUACGGUAAACUAGUAUUCUCUGCACACAUAUUCAUUAGCUUGCCCUCAUUUGUUCAACUUUUCUGAAGCAAAAAUUUUUAACUUGUACAUUCACAUAGAAAGAAAUAUACAAGUUUUUUUUAUUUUUGUACUACAUUUCCCUUUAUACCUCUAAAACUCAAGAAUCUGAUGGCCCUAGUCAUCACUCACUACCCCAGACCUCAACAAUGGGAGAUGUCACAACAGGACUCCUAACAGAGUGGUUACCCUUCUCUUCAACCCAAGUGAUCGACCCAAAGUUCGUACUCUGAUCACUAUCACCUAUAUAUUGAAUUGUCAAACUAUAACUUUGCUUAUCAUUUUUCCCCUUGAACACCAGAGUUCGUGGAGACACUGAAAUUGUGGAAUUCUUAGGAGUUUCAAUCUUCACAUUAUAAGUUGCUCCACCUUUACCAACAUUUGUCAGGGUCCUCCUGAAUUUCUGCUCCAACCAGGUGUAGUUGCGCUCGAUGCUGAAUGGGUACAAGGCAAUGAAUGAUGGGUAAUUGAGAUCAGCUGAUGGAUUUGAGCAGUUGUUGUAAUUGGCUGAUGAUCUUGCAAAUGUUUUGAACUGCUCUUCUGUGAAAUUCAAAGAGCAUAUAAGAUUUAUGUAAUCUUGUGGAGUGGCAUCAUAUAUGAGGCCGGGGUCAAGAGCUUUGUUCGGGUCAACAUGUCCUGCUCCCAUUUCUAGGGGUGUGGCUACCCUAUUAUUAUCCCUUCUAAUAGGCUUAUGAGUAUUAUCCAAAUGGUUUGCUGUGGUCAUCAUGGCCGAGCGAAUAGCUGAAGGACUCCAUUCGGGAUGCACACUUUUUAGCAUCCCUGCAAUUCCAGCAGCAUGAGGUGCAGCCAUGGAUGUGCCUGAUUUAAGCUCGUAAUCAGUGGUUAAUUGUAUGUUCUGAAUACUGUCUGAUAUGAGAUUAGGUGGAAAUGCUGCAAGAAUCAGUACCCCUGGCGCCAUAAUAUCUGGCUUUGCAAUUCCCAAAUAGCUUUUGGAGGGCCCUCGUGCUGAGUUUCCUGCAACAACUGGGGCUGGGCUUCCAUCCACAUACGUUUCUUGGAACGUGAUUGUAGCCGUUGGAGAAACACUGUUUUUAACGUAAUUGAUGAUUUGUUUCCCUUCCUUUUUGUCAACCACAACUCCCGGGUAGGGAAAUGAAGAAGACCUGAAAACUCCUGGAUCCUCAGAAAUAAAAAUGCCUGCUUUAAGCCUUGCUCCGAUGACGUGAGAAAUUUGACUAGAGAAACCCCAACCCGCUUCAUCUGCAUUGUAAUCACAGAUGAUGAUGGUGCGUUCGGGAUCAGGAACUUGUGAUAACAAUUCAUCUGAAUCGCAAGCGGCUAGAGUCUUGUUGUAAAUCACUGGAGAAUCCCUGACAAAGGCUCUUGCAGGAAAUAAGCUCCACCCCUUAAUUUUUAACCCAUUGCCUAAAGUCAAAGUUCCUGCAAAUCUCCUGUCAGUGUGGCCUGAUGCGACACACAAGAUCCAUGGAGAUCCAUUUUCUACAGAUGAACCGCUACCUUCAUUUCCAGCUGAAGCUGAGACCAAUACUCCCUUCAUCAUAGCACCGAAAGAAGCAAUUGAUAUAGCAUCUUCAUACAAGGGAAUGAAACGGUACCCAAAAGAAAUGGAUAUCAUGUCAACGCCAUCCGCAACAGCUUGGUCCAUAGCAGCAAUUAAAUCUGAUGAUAGUGUUCCUUCAUCAAAGCUAAACUUGUACACCGCUAUCCUAGCUCGUGGAGCAACCCCUCUUGCUGUCCCUGGUGCAUAUCCAAAAUGGGAAGCACCUUUCGCAAAGUUCCCAGCAGCAAUGGAAGCGCAAUGUGUGCCGUGACCAUCAAUAUCCCUGGCAGAAUUCAUGGAGAUUUUCACAGUAGGAUUAUUCGCCAAAAUUCCCUUAUUGAAGUAAUUAGCCCCAAUGAGUUUUCUGUUGCACAUUGAAGUAUUAAACUGAGUGCCUGGCUUGCAAAUACCUUUCCACCUUUUGGGUAUUUCAGGCAUACCAUCAUCUCUGAAACUCGCGGAUUCUGGCCAGAUUCCACCGUCAAGAACACCAAUGAUCACAUCUUGUCCUAAACCAGAAGCUUGCCAUAACCCCGAUGAAGGAGUGAGCUUGAGGAAAUCAGAUGUGUGGGUAGUAUGAGGUUCCACAGUUCUGUCUUUGUAUGCUGAAAUAAAACCUGGUGACUUCCUCAAAGCUGCCAGUUCAUCUUUGGACAAAACAGCACUGAAGCCAUGAAACACAUUGUCAUAGGAAUAAACAAGUUUUGGAGCAGAGUGGAAUCUGUCUACUGAUGAAGGAACAACAGCUUUGAUGGAAUCAAGAGUGGAAGAAUGCCAAUGAUGGUGAUGAGCAAAGACAUUAGGCAUAAAGGACUUGUCAAGAUGGACAAUGUAAGUGGAUCUUUGUGCUAAAGCUAAAAAGAGAUGAGCCAAAAAAGCCCAUGGAAGCAAGAGUAGAUGUAAAGAAUAAGGAAACCAAAUAUUUCUUGAUCCCAUGUUCACUCACUACACUACACUUGUUAAGACACCAAAUAUUCAUUUGACUUUAUAGGAUUAAACAUAGAAGCAUAUGAGGUCCCUUUAGCAAUCAAUUCUGUUAGGUGGAUACUGAAAUGAGCUAAGAGGUAUUAAUGCAGUAAAUAUAGGCGGCUUGUGUAAACCAAUCAAAAACUUGAGAGGACCUUAGAUGUCAAUCUUGACUCUUGUUAUCCAUUUAAUUCGAUGUUAUUUCUUUAUACUGUAAUAUGAUUUUUUUAUGAAUUUCUUAAGGCAAUAAUCUUUCACCCUUUCUUCUUGAUCAUAUACCCCUUUGUGGAACUAGUAGUAAACAUUGGUGAAAAAUUAAACAAGUAGAUAUGUGUCAUUCUUUUAAAAAUAAAAUCGAACAAAUAGACAGGUAUUUUAUUUUCCUUUUCAACUAGGGGAUAAACCGCCAUAGAGUCCUUUUCAUUUUUUUGUGGUCCUAGGCUUAAUGAAUGACUCAACAUCAAUAAUGUAGUGGGACGUAACAGUGGGAUGCGGCAAAUCACUCAGCUUCUAAUAAAUGUUUUGAUAUAAACGUAAAUAAGAACAGCCGCCUCAGUCUAUCUUGGCAGAGUGUGGAUAAUUUUUAUCACCAUUUUAUCCACAAUCACAUCAUUACUAAUCAUCUUUGUCAUAAUCAUCAUUAUCACUAUGGUUAAUUAUAUAUAAUUACGUCGCUAACCACCAACCGCCAUCACUAACCACUUCUACCGCUACAGGCCAUCACUACCGCAAGUCACCUCCACCUCCACCAAAUUGUCCACCAUAGGACCUUUCUUCUACCACUAUUAAUCACAUUACCAUCACUGUGGUCAAUCUCUACUAUCAACUAUUUUCAUCAUCACAAUUAGUACGGUUGCUAACUGACAACAACAUAUCGUCAACUCAGUGGCGGACCUAUAUUGUGAAGCACCCACCACCUUUUGUAACAACAUUAUUAUUUAUGUACAAAAUUUAGUAAUUCAUUGAAAUAUAUUAAUUGAGCACCCCUUAUAUGUAGCAAUUUUCGAGCUAAAAAUAGUUGAGAACCCAUGAUAUAAAAUUUCUGGAUCCGCCAGUGCGUCAACUACCACACAUUCUCCAGUUACCAUCACGUUAGUCACUACAACAUCAGUCACCUUCUCCAUCACAACUAUCACCACUAUUGUUACUAACCACUAACAUAAAUCAUUACUAUUUACGUCUUAACUAUUUAGUAUCCAGAUCUUAAUGCAAUAUCUUAAUAUUCAGAUGUGUAUUUAGAUUCAAACCUCUAAAUCUUAAUGCACAUCUUAAUAUUCAGACGUGUGAUUUGAAUUCAAACAUUUUAAGCUUAACGAAAACAAAUAAGACCUAAAUAUUUUUGUAUUUUCUUCUAAAAGACAGCAAUCAAUUGUAAGUUGUAACAGAGCAGAGACAAAAAAGGGAAACCCUCCCCAAAAUCCCAAACAGCAUGCUGACAAGUUCUUUGCAGCGACUUCUCCUCACAAAUGGGUAAAAUCUUCUCACUUUUCUUUCUUAAACGUUCUUCACUAUUCUUUCUUAACAUGUUUUUUUUGUGUAUCAACAUUGUCGAUUUGGAUUGAUCAUACUUUAGGGAUAAAAGAAAUAGGCAAUGCCUUUUUGAUUGGACAAAAACUUUUAAUUCAGUAUUUAUGCAUAUAUAAUAUCCCUCUUAAUUCAAGAAUCUGGUCAUCACUAGCUACCCCAGACCUCAACAGUGGUAGAUGUAACUAUAAGACUCCUAACUGCGUGGUUGCCAUUUUCUUCAACCCAAAUGACUGACCACCUGGCUUGCCACAUCAUUACAAAUUUGGGUUGUUAACUCUUGAAGGUAUUUGUGAUCUCUUGGGAUACCGAUGAAGCAGUUUUGAUCCCAAAAUGUUACGGAGGGUAUAACUUAUAAGUGAUUUAUUUCGCAUAGUUCAGGGGUAAUUUUGACCCUUUUCCAUUUUUUUUUAGUUUCUUGUACUGAUUAACAUAACAUGGCUUUGCUUCCAACUCUAUAAGUGAGUAUAUUUGAACUUUUCACCAGUCAAAUCAAUAACAGGGCUGAGUUUUGAUGUGUUGAACAAGAAAAAAGACAAUCCUAAUAAAAUUUCAGGUGCAAGUAACGUAUGGAUAAUUAAUGUUUUAGUAAGCUUAUUUAUAUUUUAGAUAGUAUAACAGAGCAAAUGAUGAUAUAGCAACUAACAUAGCAAUGAUACUAGGAAAUAUGGUCCAAACGAAAAAUGCUAAAUUCGAAUGAACUAGUUGAAAAGCUGCUUCCGCCACUAUCAGCAAAGGCUGGUAGACCCUCAUCUUCUUAUUUUAUCGUUGUUCAUUUAUGCUAACCAAAAAUAUUUUAGUCUUUCUGCAAAUCAUACUCACUCAAACUUUCCUAACCUAGAUUGUUAGCUUCUUGGUUCUCUCCUUUUUUUGUGUGUGAAUAAUCAGAUUGUCGAUGAACCACCUUACUAAGUUGAAAAUUGCUUGUCAUUUUGUGGUAAUUCAUCAACCUAGGUUUAGUGCACUUGUAAUGUCUUAUCAGCUGUAUAUCUCCCAUGAAUCCAAUAUGUUGGCCUUCAUUGAGAUGACAACAUAAAUGCCUUCAAACGAGCAGCUUUGCUCUUUUCGAUAAGUUUUUUUCUUUAUUAUACUCCUACAAAUUGAAGUGUUCAUAUUAUAAAAGUUACUUCAAAGAUUUAGAAAGACAAGAAGUUUAUAUUUUAAAAUACAUCUCCUUUUAAAUGUGUAACUUAUAUUAUAUGGAGAAUGACUUGUUCCUUUCUAUUCAUCAAAACAAGAUACUUAUACAAAUACUAUGCUUAGGAAAACUAAUCAAAGUAAAUCAACUAAGAAUCUGCUCCUAUAAUUAAAUUAGCUAUAUAUGGAAGAUAUAAUAUUUACACCUAUUAUAUUCUAUAACAUUAAAGAAAUGCGAUAACAACUCAACUUACUCAUAUAAUAAAUUAAUAUAAUACUGUGGGAGAUUCUCUAACCGACAACCACCAUUAUGAGCCUAAGUNNNNNNNNNNNNNNNNNNNNNNNNNNNNNNNNNNNNNNNNNNNNNNNNNNNNNNNNNNNNNNNNNNNNNNNNNNNNNNNNNNNNNNNNNNNNNNNNNNNNNNNNNNNNNNNNNNNNNNNNNNNNNNNNNNNNNNNNNNNNNNNNNNNNNNNNNNNNNNNNNNNNNNNNNNNNNNNNNNNNNNNNNNNNNNNNNNNNNNNNNNNNNNNNNNNNNNNNNNNNNNNNNNNNNNNNNNNNNNNNNNNNNNNNNNNNNNNNNNNNNNUGGUUUUACAUCCAGCCCAAUCAGCAUCAGCAAAGCACUCAAUGUGAGUAUGUCCGUGGUUACCAUAUAAAAUGCCAAGUCCAGGGGAUCUUUUCAAGUAGCAUAAGAUCUGUUCCAAGGCUUCCCAAUGUUUGACUGUAGGUGCAGACAUGAAUUGACUAACAACACUCACUGCAAAAGCAAUAUCUGGACGUGUUACAGUGAGAUAGUUUAGUUUCCCUACUAACCUCCUAUAUCUCUCUGGAUCAUCAAAGGGGCUGCCAUCAUCACGGGUCAGAUGCACAUUAGGGACCAUUGGAGUACUACAAGGUUUGGCUGCGGACUUUCCAGUUUCCACAAGUAGGUCAAGGAUAUACUUUCUCUGAGAUAGAAAGAUUCCCUUCUUGCUUCUAGUUACUUCUACUCCCAAAAAAUAUUUUAGUUGUCCCAAAUCUUUUGUGUGGAAUUUAGUAUGCAAGAAUGACUUGAGUGAAGAGAUCCCCGAAUAAUCACUUCCUGUAAUAACAAUGUCAUCAACAUAUACCACAAGAAGAAUAAUGCCAAUUGUUGAUUGUUUAUAAAAGACUGAGUGAUCACACAUGCUCUUUUUCAGCCCAAAUUCCUGAACUACUUCACUGAAUUUGCCAAACCAAGCACGAGGGCUUUGUUUCAAACCAUACAAGGAUUUCUUUAGGUGACAAACUUUACCAUACUCCCCCUGAGCAACAAAUCCAGGUGGUUGCUCCAUAUACACUUCUUCUUGGAGAUCACCAUGAAGAAAUGCAUUCUUGAUAUCUAGCUGGUGCAACGGCCAAUUCUUAGAUGCAGCUAAGGAAAUAAAUAAGCGAACAGAAGUGAGUUUAGCCACCGGAGAAAAUGUGUCUGAAUAAUCCACCCCAUAAGUCUGAGCAUAUCCUUUAGCCACUAGUCAAGCCUUAAGUCUAGCCACAGAGCCAUCGGAUUAACUUUGACCGCAAAGACCCAUUUGCAUCCCACUGCCUUCUUUCCUUUUGGUAAAUCCACCAAGUCCCAAGUGUGAUUCUCAUCUAGUGCAUGUAUCUCCUCAAGCAUUGCAUUAUACCAUCCAGUGUGACUCAAGGCUUCCUUAACUGUCUUAGGAACAACGAUAGAGUCUAGAGAAACAAUCAAAGAUCUAGACAUAGAGGAUAAAUGACCAUAGGAAACAAAAUUAGCAAUGGAGUAUGGAGAUUUGCAACUACGUGUACCUUUGCGAAUAGCAAUAGGGAGAUCAAGAUCUUCUGGAAGAUCAGACGAAUGAGGAUCUGAUGACAAAGGGACUGGUGCAGAACAUGUAUCAAUGGCCUCUCGCCUCCUCGAGUAAACUUGUACAACCGGAGGUCUUACUACCGUAGAUGGUGCAGGAGCUGAUGGUACAGUAUCCGAUUGAUCCUCAAUAGAUGAUCUGAGAGAUGGAGGGACAAUAUUUGAUUCUUCUGUCAAAACACGGGUGACCUCAUAGACUAACCACUCAUCCUGUGGAAUUCUUAGGAGUUUCAAUCUUCACAUUAUAAGUUGUUCCACCUCUACCAACAUUUGUAAGGGUCCUCCUGAAUUUCUGCUCCAACCAGGUGAAGUUCCCCUCCAGGCUAUAUGGGUUCAAUGCAAUGAAUGAUGGAUAGUUGAGAUCAGCUGAUGGAUUUGAGCAGUUAUCGUAAUUGGCUGAUGAUCUUGCAAAUGUUUUGAAUUGCUCUUCUGUGAAAUUCAUAGAGCAUAUAAGAUUUAUGUAAUCUUGUGGAGUGGCAUCAUAUACAAGCCUGGGAUCAAGAGCUCUGUUUGGGUCAACAUGCCCUGCACCCAUAUCUAGGGGUGUGGUAGCAAGAACAGUGGAUGGCAUACGAUUAAUCAGAAGACAAGUCGUAGAGACUGCAUCUGCCCAAAACUGUUUAGGAACCUCAAGCCUGGGAUCAAGAGCUCUGUUUGGGUCAACAUGCCCUGCACCCAUAUCUAGGGGUGUGGCUACCCAAUUAUUAUCGUCUUUAAUAGGUUUUUUAGUACUAUCCAAAUGGUUUGCUGUGGUCAUCAUGGCGGAGCGAAUUGCAGAAGGACUCCAUUCAGGAUGUGCACCUUUUAGCAUUGCUGCAAUUCCAGCUACAUGAGGGGCAGCCAUGGAUGUGCCUGAUUUAAGUUCGUAAUCACUGGAUAGUUCUAAGUUCGUCUGAAUACUUUGUGAAAAGAGAUUAGGUGGAAAUGCUGCAAGAAUCAGUACCCCUGGUGCCAUAAUAUCUGGCUUUGCGAUUCCCAAGUAGCUUCUGGAGGGCCCUCGUGCUGAGCUUCCAGCAAGAACUGGGGCAGGCCUACCAUCCACAUAAGUUUCUUGGAACGUGAUUGUAGCCGUUGGAGAAACACUGUUUUUUACGUAAUUGAUG
rnacentral:lncRNA from 1 species